CUUAAGUGAAUACAUAGGAGUCAGUUUAUCUAUGAAUUGAUUGAUCAGUAGCUGCUAUUAUAUUAAAGUAGCCAUCUAUAAGUUCAAAGUCAUAAUUAUAUGUUCCUAUUAACCAUUUUAUAAUUGCUAAUAAUGGUAUUUAACAUGCUAACUGCUACGUUGAUGCUAGAAUCAAAUCUUUCUUUCUAGUUUGGAACCUUGAAUUAUUGCUCAAAACAAAUUAAAGUGCGUACUAAUGUCUUCUUAUCUCCUCAGAUUCCCACACAUGUUUGUUUGAUAACAGACUUUUGCCCUGGUGGAGAGUUGUUUAACCUGCUUGAUAAGCAACCUCUGAAAUUUUUCAAAGAAGAAUCUGCAAGGUAAUGAUCGCAACAUAAACAUAAAAAUUUCCCUAACCAUCACAAAUUAAAAAGUGAGUAUUUGGAUAGCUUGGCUAUAAUAUUUGAUCACUUCACACUAUAAUUAGUUUGGGUCAGGAAAUUUGAUUUCACCGCCAGGUUCUUUUCUGACGACGGAUUGAUUCCUAGCAGUUUUCCUAGUGAAUGUUCCUUUUCAAGUUUUAAAUCUGAAUUACUAAAUGUCUAAAUCAUUAUGGAUAUCUGAACAGAUAUUUCUUGUGCCUGCUAUUCUUACCACUAAGUUAUUUGUUUCCAGGUUCUAUGCAGCUGAGGUUGUCAUUGUUUUGGAAUAUCUUCAUUGUCUAGGUAUCUUAAUAAACUGAAAACAGAUAUAUUUCCCUUUAUUAAAACUUUUUUUCCACCUUGCACUUUAUGAACUCAAGUUGCAAGAAUAUGUUUUCAUCUUUUUAUGGUUUAUAACAGGAAUAAUAUAUAGAGACCUGAAGCCAGAAAAUAUUUUACUUCAGAAGGAUGGCCACAUUGUACUAACCGACUUUGAUUUAUCUUUUAUGACAUCUAGUAAAUCCCAAGUAUGUCAAAAUAAAAUUUUUUGAUGUUUUACUUGAUAUUUGAUAAGACUGUUGAUAAAUAAUGAUAAUUUUUUUCUUAAGAUAAAAGUUUAAAAUGAUUUACAGGUUUUAAAGUAUCCCAUGCCUAAGAGAAGAAGAUCCAGGAGUCAACCACUUCCAACAUUUGUUGCAGAGCCAUCUACACAGUCGAAUUCAUUUGUUGGAACUGAAGAAUACAUUGCUCCAGUAUAAUGACUCUAUUCAAUCCAUGCCUAAUGUUCAUAAGUUCAAUUGCAUUCAUAACAGAUGCAACAAAGUAACAUGUUUCCUUUACUGUAAUCUGUUUGGAUACCUAUGUUUCAGGAAAUUAUUACUGGUGCGGGACACAGUAGUAGCAUUGAUUGGUGGGCUCUUGGUAAGUAGAUGUUGAUACUGUAUAGUUUUUUUCUUUGGUUCUAUAGCAUUGUUUGUAUUCUGUUAAGAUGAGAUGAGAUGACAUACCUGGAUUUAUAAUCGGAAUUUAGGUAUUUUGCUGUAUGAGAUGCUCUAUGGCCGAACGCCUUUCCGAGGUAAAAACAGGCAGAAGACUUUCUCCAACAUCUUGAACAAAGAACUCACCUUCCCAAGUAGCAUUCCAGUACGUUUCUAAUCCAUCAAUGACAAAUAAUUUACAACAGAAGAUGACAUAACUUCCACCAUCUUUCUGAACAUGACAUGAUAGAAUUGCUCAGCAUAAUGUUAGCGGAACAUAUAAUCCUUAGGGAUUUUUAAACUACAAUCAAGAUGGUCUAUUUCAUGCAAAUUUUAACUAUUUAGAUUCUCCAUACGUUUUUAUUGUUUUCUAGAUCAUCAGAUGAAGUAAAAAACCAGCUUGUGUAAUGUGAUCAUUUACCUCUGCUGCUGAAAUGAUAUGCAGGUUAGUCUUGCAGCUAGGCAGUUGAUUAAUGCAUUGUUGAACCGAGACCCCUCCAGCCGUUUAGGGUCAAGAGCUGGUGCUGCUGAAAUUAAACAACACCCUUUCUUCCACGGCAUUAAUUGGUCUCUUAUACG
rnacentral:lncRNA from 1 species